GACGAACGCUGGCGGCGUGCUUAACACAUGCAAGUCGAACGAUGAAGCCCAGCUUGCUAGGUGGAUUAGUGGCGAACGGGUGAGUAAUACGUGAGUAACCUACCUUUAACUCUGGGAUAAGCCCGGGAAACUGGGUCUAAUACCGGAUACGACCAAUCUCCGCAUGGGGUGUUGGUGGAAAGCGUUAUGUAGUGGUUAUAGAUGGGCUCACGGCCUAUCAGCUUGUUGGUGAGGUAACGGCUCACCAAGGCGACGACGGGUAGCCGGCCUGAGAGGGUGACCGGCCACACUGGGACUGAGACACGGCCCAGACUCCUACGGGAGGCAGCAGUGGGGAAUAUUGCACAAUGGGCGCAAGCCUGAUGCAGCGACGCCGCGUGAGGGAUGACGGCCUUCGGGUUGUAAACCUCUGUUAGCAGGGAAGAAGAGAGAUUGACGGUACCUGCAGAGAAAGCGCCGGCUAACUACGUGCCAGCAGCCGCGGUAAUACGUAAGGCGCGAGCGUUGUCCGGAAUUAUUGGGCGUAAAGAGCUUGGUAGGCGGUUUGUCGCGUCUGCUGUGAAAGGCCGGGGCUUAACUCCGUGUAUUGCAGUGGGUACGGGCAGACUAGAGUGCAGUAGGGGAGACUGGAAUUCCUGGUGUAGCGGUGGAAUGCGCAGAUAUCAGGAGGAACACCGAUGGCGAAGGCAGGUCUCUGGGCUGUAACUGACGCUGAGAAGCGAAAGCAUGGGGAGCGAACAGGAUUAGAUACCCUGGUAGUCCAUGCCGUAAACGUUGGGCACUAGGUGUGGGGAACAUUCCACGUUUUCCGCGCCGUAGCUAACGCAUUAAGUGCCCCGCCUGGGGAGUACGGCCGCAAGGCUAAAACUCAAAGAAACUGACGGGGGCCCGCACAAGCGGCGGAGCAUGCGGAUUAAUUCGAUGCAACGCGAAGAACCUUACCAAGGCUUGACAUAUACUGGACCGCAUCAGAGAUGGUGUUUCCCUUCGGGGCUGGUAUACAGGUGGUGCAUGGUUGUCGUCAGCUCGUGUCGUGAGAUGUUGGGUUAAGUCCCGCAACGAGCGCAACCCUCGUUCUAUGUUGCCAGCACGUAAUGGUGGGGACUCAUAGGAGACUGCCGGGGUCAACUCGGAGGAAGGUGGGGAUGACGUCAAAUCAUCAUGCCCCUUAUGUCUUGGGCUUCACGCAUGCUACAAUGGCCGGUACAGAGGGUUGCGAUACUGUGAGGUGGAGCUAAUCCCUAAAAGCCGGUCUCAGUUCGGAUUGGGGUCUGCAACUCGACCCCAUGAAGUCGGAGUCGCUAGUAAUCGCAGAUCAGCAACGCUGCGGUGAAUACGUUCCCGGGCCU
rnacentral:rRNA from 1 species